rnacentral:rRNA from 1 species
GACGAACGCUGGCGGCGUGCCUAAUACAUGCAAGUCGAGCGGGGUUGUUUAGAAGCUUGCUUUUAAACAACCUAGCGGCGGACGGGUGAGUAACACGUAGGCAACCUGCACACAAGACAGGGAUAACUACCGGAAACGGUAGCUAAUACCCGAUACAUCCUUUUCCCGCAUGGGAGAAGGAGGAAAGACGGAGCAAUCUGUCACAUGUCGAUGGGCCUGCGGCGCAUUAGAUAGUUGGUGGGGUAAAGGCCUACCAAGGCGACGAUGCGUAGCCGACCUGAGAGGGUGAUCGGCCACACUGGGACUGAGACACGGCCCAGACUCCUACGGGAGGCAGCAGUAGGGAAUCUUCCGCAAUGGGCGAAAGCCUGACGGAGCAACGCCGCGUGAGUGAUGAAGGUUUUCGGAUCGUAAAGCUCUGUUGCCAGGGAAGAACGUCUUGUAGAGUAACUGCUACAAGAGUGACGGUACCUGAGAAGAAAGCCCCGGCUAACUACGUGCCAGCCGCCGCGGUAAUAC